rnacentral:rRNA from 1 species
UGCGUAGGUGGUGAGGUAAGUCGGAUGUGAAAUCUCCGGGCUCAACCCGGAAAUGGCAUUGGAAACUACCUUGCUGGAGGAUUUGAGGGGGGAUUGGAAUACUUGGUGUAGCAGUGAAAUGCGUAGAUAUCAAGUGGAACACCAGUGGCGAAGGCGAAUCCCUGGAAAAUACCUGACACUGAGGCACGAAAGCUAGGGAGGCAAACA